rnacentral:misc_RNA from 1 species
UAGCUGCGCGUUGUCGUGUAAUCCGCAGGUUAUACGAACACCGACCUUUCGAACGCACAUUGCGGUCUCGGUGACUCACGGGUCCCGGACCACGCCUGUCUGAGGGUCGCAUACCGGAAACUCGGCCAGACCGCGUCGGAGCCUCGCGCUCCGGCGAGAUUGGCGGUUCGACCCUCCUCCGGGGGCGGUCGUCCGCCCAAGUCGUGACGUAUAAGAACCGUCGACGGGUCUCCCGCGCGUCGACGACGCGCGUGCCCGUCCGCCCGCCGUCCCGCCAUACCGGGGCGCCGGGUCGGCUGAUGGCUCUCCGCUCCGGCGGAUCC